GAAAUGCGAUAAGUAGUGUGAAUUGCAGAAUUCAGUGAAUCAUCGAAUCUUUGAACGCACAUUGCGCUCUCGGGUAUUCCUGGGAGCAUGCCUGUUUGAGAAUUGGAACAUUCUCUACCUACACCCUUGGGUGUUUCAAGGUAGGAUUUGAGCUAUCCCAGGCGAAAAUAACUUUUCGAAACUGGGUGACUUGAAAUGAAUGGUUUGGCUGGGAUACUAAGAUCCAAUUGGCUGACAAGCGUGACAAGAACUUUUGGGAUCCUUCCGAGGUGACCAAGUUUCAGACCGCUGACUCACAAGUUGGUAAUUAAACUUAGUUUAUCUCAUCGCCUUCUUCCAAAUUUAUUACGUGGUUAAGACUUUGGUUUUAGCCCUGAAUCUCAAUCUCAAAUCAGGCAAG
rnacentral:misc_RNA from 1 species